CGCAUUAGCUAGUUGGUGGGGUAAAGGCUUACCAAGGCAAUGAUGCGUAGCCGAAUUGAGAGGUUGAUCGGCCACAUUGGGACUGAGACACGGCCCAAACUCCUACGGGAGGCAGCAGUAGGGAAUCUUCCACAAUGGGCGAAAGCCUGAUGGAGCAACGCCGCGUGGGUGAAGAAGGUCUUCGGAUCGUAAAACCCUGUUGUUAGAGAAGAAAGUGCGUGAGAGUAACUGUUCACGUUUCGACGGUAUCUAACCAGAAAGCCACGGCUAACUACGUGCCAGCAGCCGCGGUAAUACGUAGGUGGCAAGCGUUAUCCGGAUUUAUUGGGCGUAAAGGGAACGCAGGCGGUCUUUUAAGUCUGAUGUGAAAGCCUUCGGCUUAACCGGAGUAGUGCAUUGGAAACUGGGAGACUUGAGUGCAGAAGAGGAGAGUGGAACUCCAUGUGUAGCGGUGAAAUGCGUAGAUAUAUGGAAGAACACCAGUGGCGAAAGCGGCUCUCUGGUCUGUAACUGACGCUGAGGUUCGAAAGCGUGGGUAGCAAACAGGAUUAGAUACCCUGGUAGUCCACGCCGUAAACGAUGAAUGCUAAGUGUUGGAGGGUUUCCGCCCUUCA
rnacentral:rRNA from 1 species